rnacentral:rRNA from 1 species
AACGAACGCUGGCGGCAGGCCUAACACAUGCAAGUCGAGCGAGGACUUCGGUCAUAGCGGCGGACGGGUGUGUAACGCGUGGGAACGUGCCCUUUGCUUCGGAAUAGCCCUGGGACACUGGGAGUAAUACCGGAUGAGCCCUUUGGGGGAAAGAUUUAUCGGCGAAGGAUCGGCCCGCGUUGGAUUAGGUAGUUGGUGGGGUAAUGGCCUACCAAGCCGACGAUCCAUAGCUGGUUUGAGAGGAUGAUCAGCCACACUGGGACUGAGACACGGCCCAGACUCCUACGGGAGGCAGCAGUGGGGAAUCUUAGACAAUGGGGGAAACCCUGAUCUAGCCAUGCCGCGUGAGCGAUGAAGGCCUUAGGGUUGUAAAGCUCUUUCAGCUGGGAAGAUAAUGACGGUACCAGCAGAAGAAGCCCCGGCUAACUCCGUG